UACGAGGGGGGCGAGCGUUGUUCGGAAUUAUUGGGCGUAAAGGGUGCGUAGGCGGUUUGGUAAGUCUGAUGUGAAAUCUAUGGGCUCAACUCAUAGUCUGCAUCGGAAACUGCCGGGCUUGAGUGUGGGAGAGGUGAGUGGAAUUCCUGGUGUAGCGGUGAAAUGGCGUAGAUAUCAGGAGGAACACCUGUGGCGAAGGCGGUUCUCUGGGCCUUACCUGACGCUGAGGAGCGAAAGCGUGGGGAGCGAACAGG
rnacentral:rRNA from 1 species